CCUGCUCCUAAAGGCUUUGUAGGUAUGGCUGCUGUGUCACAUGCACACCAGUAGGUGGCAGAGAGGAAAGAAGCUUUUACUAUGCUCAGUUUCUGACCUAUGAACAUCUGAAUGAUGAGUAGCCUAGCAUU